rnacentral:rRNA from 1 species
AGUGAACGCUGGCGGUAGGCCUAACACAUGCAAGUCGAACGGCAGCACAGUAAGAGCUUGCUCUUACGGGUGGCGAGUGGCGGACGGGUGAGGAAUACAUCGGAAUCUACUUUUUCGUGGGGGAUAACGUAGGGAAACUUACGCUAAUACCGCAUCCGACCUACGGGUGAAAGCAGGGGAUCUUCGUACCUUGCGCGAUUGAAUGAGCCGAUGUCGGAUUAGCUAGUUGGCGGGGUAAAGGCCCACCAAGGCGACGAUCCGUAGCUGGUCUGAGAGGAUGAUCAGCCACACUGGAACUGAGACACGGUCCAGACUCCUACGGGAGGCAGCAGUGGGGAAUAUUGGACAAUGGGCGCAAGCCUGAUCCAGCCAUACCGCGUGGGUGAAGAAGGCCUUCGGGUUGUAAAGCCCUUUUGUUGGGAAAGAAAAGCAGCAGGUUAAUACCCCGCUGUUCUGACGGUACCCAAAGAAUAAGCACCGGCUAACUUCGUG